rnacentral:rRNA from 1 species
CCUACGGGAGGCAGCAGUGAGGAAUAUUGGUCAAUGGCCGGAAGGCUGAACCAGCCAAGUCGCGUGAGGGACGACUGCCCUAUGGGUUGUAAACCUCUUUUAUAAGGGAAGAAUAAAUGCUACGUGUAGCAUGAUGCCUGUACCUUAUGAAUAAGCAUCGGCUAACUCCGUGCCAGCAGCCGCGGUAAUACGGAGGAUGCGAGCGUUAUCCGGAUUUAUUGGGUUUAAAGGGUGCGUAGGCGGUAUUUUAAGUUAGUGGUAAAACGUCGGGGCUUCACCUUGAUUUGCCAUUAAUACUGUAAGACUCGAGAUCAGACGAGGUAGGCGGAAUAAGUUAAGUAGCGGUGAAAUGCUUAGAUAUAACUUAGAACACCGAUAGCGAAGGCAGCUUACCAGACUGCGACUGAUGCUGAAGCACGAGAGCGUGGGUAGCGAACAGGAUUAGAUACCCGUGUAGUC